rnacentral:rRNA from 1 species
CCUGAACGCUGGCGGCGUGGCUAAGACAUGCAAGUCGCACGGACGUAGCAAUACGUUAGUGGCGAACGGGUGAGUAAUGAAUCGCUAAUGUGCCCCGGACUUUGGGAUAGCUAUCCGAAAGGAUAGGUAAUACCAGAUGAUAUAACUUUGUCGCAUGACAGAGUUCUCAAAGGUCCGCCGGUCUGGGAGCAGGCGAUUUCGUAUCAGCUAGUUGGUGAGGAACGGCUCACCAAGGCGAUGACGCGUAGCCGGACUGAGAGGUUGGCCGGCCACAUUGGGACUGAGACACUG